AUGAGACCCAUAAAACUGAAUUCUCAGUGGACAAGAUCUCCAGAGGCCAGUUUCACCACUGUUGUAAGGGGGCACUGCCUUGAUGAUGUGCGGUGGGCUACAACCUACCUGUGCAUAGGAGACAUGAAACACGUGACUAUGUCUCAGGCCUGUCUAAGUUAUGUGUUUUGCAAAGUGCUAACAAAGCGUGCCGGAUUUGGAACAAUAUUGCAAUGCUCUCUCAGCAGGUGUCGCGUGACCACACAGCCUCGUGCUCUAUCUGGCACAAGUCAUGACAUUCAGGACUGUUUCUGA
rnacentral:lncRNA from 1 species